rnacentral:rRNA from 2 species
AUCCCUGAAAGAUGAUCAGGUUGAUAGGUCUGAGGUGGAAGUGUGGCGACACAUGGAGCUGACAGAUACUAAUCGAUCGAGGACUUAACCAC